CUAUAUACAGGGGGUACCAGUACAGAGUGAAUGUGGAGGCUAUAUACAGGGGGAACCAGUACAGAGUCAAUGUGGAGGCUAUAUACAGGGGGUACCGGUACAGAGUCAAUGUGGAGGCUAUAUACAGGGGGAACCGGUACAGAGUCAAUGUGGAGGCUAUAUACAGGGGGUACCAGUACAGAGUCAAUGUGGAGGCUAUAUACAGGGGGUACCAGUACAGAGUCAAUGUGGAGGCUAUAUACAGGUGGUACCGGUACAGAGUCAAUGUGGAGGCUAUAUACAGGUGGUACCGGUACAGAGUCAAUGUGGAGGCUAUAUACAGGUGGUACCGGUACAGAGUCAAUGUGGAGGCUAUAUACAGGGGGUACCAGUACAGAGUCAAUGUGGAGGCUAUAUACAGGGGGUACCAGUACAGAGUCAAUGUGGAGGCUAUAUACUGGGUGUACUGGUACCGAGUCAAUGUGGAGGCUAUAUACAGGGGGUACCGGUACCGAGUCAAUGUGGAGGCUAUAUACAGGGGGUACCAGUACAGAGUCAAUGUGGAGGCUAUAUACAGGGUGUUAAGUUGCAGAGUCAAUGUGGAGGCUAUAUACAGGGGGUACCGGUACAGAGUCAAUA
ensembl:lncRNA